GGCAGGAGGAUCUCUUGAGCCCAGGAGUAUUUAAAUAAUAAUAAAAACAAACGGCUGGGCAUGGUGGUUCACACCUGUAAUCCCAGCACUUUGGGAGACCGAGGCAGGUUAAUCAUUUGAGGCCAGGAGUUCAAGACCAGCUUGGCCAACAUGGUGAAACCCCGUUUCUACUAAAAAUACAGAAAUUAGCAGGGCGUGGUGGUGCACGCCUGUAGUCCCAGCUACUUGGAAGGCUGAGGCACAAUUGCUUGAACCCAAGAGGCGGAGGUUGCAGUGAGCCAAGACUACACCACUGCACUCCAGCCUGGGCAAGAGAGCAAGACCCUGUCUCAAAAAUAUAUAUAUAAUAUUAAUAAUAAAAACAAGCAAAAAAGUUAAAUCCUUCACACUACAUAAAUUUUUUCCCCUCAUGCUAUGUCCUUGAUAAAGAUGAAGACAGUAAUUAUAAAUUCCUAAACACAAAAAUAUAACACUACCAAAAGUUAAUUUUUUAUGGGGAAGGCUUUCUAAAUAACCUUUACCAAUUUGGGCUAUUUGGGAGAGUAAAGGAAAGACCACACUCCACAGCGGGCUAUACCAAUAGUUCACUACUAUUUUGUGGUCUACAUUUCCUGGUGAAAAAAUUAAAAACAUUUUUAAAAAUAUAAACAUGGCCAGGUGCAGAGCCUCACACCUGUAAUCCCAGCACUUUGGGAGGUAGGCCAAAGCAGGAGGAUCACUUGAGACCAGCCUGGGCAACAUGGCAAAACCCUGUCUCUACAAAAACUACAAAUUUUUUUUAAUUAAAUAAAUAAGCAACAAACAUGACAAUUUAACAAACUGGGACUUAC
rnacentral:lncRNA from 10 species